rnacentral:rRNA from 1 species
GACGAACGCUGGCGGCGUGCCUAAUACAUGCAAGUCGAGCGGACUUUCAUUGGUGCUUGCACCUUUGAAAGUUAGCGGCGGACGGGUGAGUAACACGUGGGUAACCUACCCUGUAGAUUGGGAUAACUCCGGGAAACCGGGGCUAAUACCGAAUAACACUUUUGAACUCAUGUUCGAAAGUUAAAAGAUGGUUUCGGCUAUCACUACAGGAUGGGCCCGCGGCGCAUUAGCUAGUUGGUGAGGUAACGGCUCACCAAGGCAACGAUGCGUAGCCGACCUGAGAGGGUGAUCGGCCACACUGGGACUGAGACACGGCCCAGACUCCUACGGGAGGCAGCAGUAGGGAAUCUUCCACAAUGGACGAAAGUCUGAUGGAGCAACGCCGCGUGAGUGAAGAAGGAUUUCGGUUCGUAAAACUCUGUUGCAAGGGAAGAACAAGUAGCGUAGUAACUGGCGCUACCUUGACGGUACCUUGUUAGAAAGCCACGGCUAACUACGUGCCAGCAGCCGCCGCCG